UUGACCUCGGAUCAGGUAGGGAUACCAGCUGAAUUUCA
rnacentral:rRNA from 1 species